ensembl:lncRNA novel transcript
ACAUUCACGGGAAUUAUGUCCUAGAAGCUUGGCAAUUUUUUUUUCCAAAAGCAUUCUUUGUUUUUCUAAAAAUAUCAAUUUGGUAUUAGGAAAUGAAAGACCUGUAGGUCCUGGCUGGGCGUGGUGGUUCACGCCUGUAAUCCCAGCACUUUGGGAGGCUGAGUUUUUUCAGACUUGGCUCUGGGUAGGUCCUCCUAAGCACUCAGUUUUGAGCUGCAUAUGUGAAGGCAGAGCAGGAAUAAAAGGAGAAAAUACUGAGAAGAGUCCAAAAUAUGACUAAAGAGAUGAAAAAAACAAAAUGAAUGGUUGCUCACACCUCUUUCCUAUCCCUACAUAGAAACAAACAGGAAAAUCAGAGCAACAGGGAGUUUUAGUGAUAAAACA